rnacentral:lncRNA from 1 species
UUGGUUUCUUGCUUAGUAUGUGUUUCCCUCAGUACUCAAUAACAACGGAGGAGAUCCCUGGAUUCAGCAAGAAAAUCUUGUAACAAUCAAAUCGACUCUCCAUCUUUCUUCCUCCUGCUUUGUGCCCUGGGAAGCGGACCUCUCUGCACCAUAUCGACAGGCUCCCUGGACCUGAGGUAGAAGAUGCAAGGGUAGGAGGAGACCAAACUCAGCCCUCUGUUAUCACCAUGAGAAGGACAUGCCCGAAUGAGUGUGUUGGAGGAUAAGACAUGUGGAACAGAGCCACAUCACCACAGCAAAUUAUUGAAGCCACUGUGUAUCAUCCAACAGCCAGCUGAUCCCAAAAUAGGUA